rnacentral:rRNA from 1 species
UACGUAGGGACCAAGCGUUGUUCGGAUUUACUGGGCGUAAAGCGCCCGUAGGCGGCCUGACAAGUUGGACGUGAAAGCUCCUGGCUUAACUGGGAGAGGCCGUUCAAAACUGUCAAGCUAGAGUCUGGAAGAGGAGAGCGGAAUUCCCGGUGUAGUGGUGGAAUGCGUAGAGAUCGGGAGGAACACCAGUGGCGAAAGCGGCUCUCUGGUCCAAAACUGACGCUGAGGGGCGAAAGCGUGGGGAGCGAACGGG